rnacentral:lncRNA from 1 species
UUACCAAUCUUCUACUCUUAUGCAUGCAGGAUAUUUACAAUUUUUAAUAUCAUAAAGAGCAUUGAGAAAAGAAUCUUUGCACAAGUAUCUUAGCACAUUUGCCCUACUUUAAUUUUUGUUCACAGUAAAAUAUAGAUACAGAAAAUUGCUCAGAUCGUGAGUAUACAGGCCGAUAAACUUUCACAAAUGACCACGUCUGUGGAACCAGCACCCAGGGCAAGAAACAUAACAUCGUUGGAUCCAGCCUGCCUUCCCAACCUCCCUCCCAUCCUACUUUGUGGAUGUUUUCGCUAAAUGAACUAACAAAUUGUCUACAGCUUGCCUAGUGGGCUGGUCCGGGAAAUUGUGAAGGAAUUCUUUGAUGCCUUCCUCCAAGGUUUAGGAAUGACAAAUGGAGCCUUAGGACAACGCUGGCCCGACAGAAGUUUGCUAAACCUGGUCUUCCCUCUCCCGUCUGCUCUCUCUGACUCAGCUCCAGCUCCUCUCUCCUUCUGGCCCCCGAACUCAGCCUUCCCUUCCCUCGGGGCCUUGAGACAAGCUACCUGGCUGUGGCAAUGACCGUUUAAGGAGUGACCCCUACAAGGCAUUUCUGUUUCAACGGCUGACUCUUGAGCCGUAACCCCCAAAAGUGUGGAUGGCAGUGCCGAGACUGGCGGUUAGGGGGUGCUAUCACUCAGAUGGGGCCUGCCCUGAAUAUUAGCCCUUGAUUUGCCACCCCGCUCCCUGCCUGACCCCAGCAGGUUCCCCGCCACCCAAACCCUCCAGCGUCUGAGAAACACAACUUGCCCUGGUCACCCAUCCCCCCACACACACACAGACAGUGCUGACCUUCAGGGUAACAUUGAAACCUCUUCACUGUAAGGUGUGUGUGGAAAAGAAACUGAGCAUCUGAAACCCCAGCUCCUGCACUCCACCCAUUGCCCAAGCGGCCGCCCACAGCAGUUACAAAGAGGUGAGAUGUUUUUGAAAUGACGAGAAUGUUCUGUAAUUAGAUAGCGGUGAUGGUUGCACAACUUUGUGACCAUACUAAAAACCACUGAAUUGUACACUUUGAAAGGGUGAACUUCAUGAUAUGUGAAUUAUACUUCGAUUAAAAAUAAAAGACGAGCCACUGGGGGACAAGAAGUAAAGCUUGUCAUAUGGGAUAUACCCAUAUCCCACGUGAUGUAUGGUGUGUCAGCCUGUAGCCACCCCAGGUCAGGGGACCAAAGGAGCUGCCGAAAGUGGAAGCAGCACCCACGCCCCAGCACCAGGAGAGAGAAAG